AACGAACGCUGGCGGCAUGCCUAACACAUGCAAGUCGAACGGGAUCCUGGUUUCGGCCAGGUGAGAGUGGCGGACGGGUGAGUAACGCGUGGGAACCUGCCCAGUGGUGGGGGAUAACUGCGGGAAACUGCAGCUAAUACCGCAUGAGCCCGAAAGGGGAAGAUUGAUCGCCAUUGGAGGGGCCCGCGUUCGAUUAGGUAGUUGGUGAGGUAACGGCUCACCAAGCCUUCGANCGAUAGCUGGUCUGAGAGGAUGGAUCAGCCACACUGGGACUGAGAUACGGCCCAGACUCCUACGGGAGGCAGCAGUGGGGAAUAUUGGACAAUGGGGGCAACCCUGAUCCAGCAAUGCCGCGUGAGUGAUGAAGGCCUU
rnacentral:rRNA from 1 species